AUUAGGUUUUGGGACUAGGGAAAGGUUUAAGGGUUUUGGCGUUAGGGUUAAAAUCACUGUCCAAAACCUUUGUAGGAACUCUUUUCCAACCUUUUGGAGUUAGACCAAAAAAAAAAGAAAAAUGAAAAAAAAAUAUUUGGGGUGUUCAGGCUUCCUAAAAGUAAUACCCGGGUAUUAGGUUAUAGGGCUAUGGUAAGGUUUAAGUUUUUUGGCAUAAGGGUUAAAAUCCCUGUCCAAAACCUUUGUAGGAACACUUUUCCAACCUUUUGGAAUUAGAUAAAACAAAAAAAUAUGAAAAAUGAAAAAAUAUAUAUUUGGGGUUUUCGUGCUUCCUGAAUGUAAUACCCGGGUAUUAGAUUUUAAGGCUAGGGUAAGGUUUAAGUUUUUUGGCGUUAGGGUUAAAAUCACUGUCCAAAACCUUUGUAGGAACUCUUUUCCAACCUUUUGGAUUUAGUUAGACCAAAAAAAAUGAAAAAUUAAAAAAAAUAUAUUUGGGGUGUUCAGGCUUCCUAAAAGUAAUACCCGGGUUUUAGAUUUUGAGGCUAGGGUAAGGUUUAAGGUUUUUGGCGUUAGGGUUAAAAUCACUGUCCAAAACCUUUGUAGGAACUCUUUUCCAACCUUUUGGAGUUAGUUAAACCAAAAAAAAAGAAAAAUGAAAAAAUAUAUAUUUGGGGUUUUCGGGCUUCCUGAAUGUAAUACCCGGGUAUUAGAUUUUUAGGCUAGGGUAAGGUUUAAGUUUUUUGGCGUUAGGGUUAAAAUCACUGUCCAAAACCUUUGUAGGAACUCUUUUCCAACCUUUUGGAGUUGGUUACACCAACAAUAAUGUAAAAUGAACAAAAAAAUAUUUGGGGUGUUCGGGCUUCCUGAAGGUAAUACCCCGGUAUUAGAUUUUAAGGCUAGGGUAAGGUUUAAGUUUUUUGGCGUUAGGGUUAAAAUCACUGUCCAAAACCUUUGUAGGAACUCUUUUCCAACCUUUUGGAGUUAGUUAGACCAAAAAGUAUGAAAAAAGAAAAAAAUAUUAUUGGGGGUUUUCGGGCUCCCUGAAAGUAAUACCCGGGUAUUAGAUUUUAAGGCUAGGGUAAGGUUUAAGGUUUUUGGCGUUAGGGUUAAAAUCACUGUCCAAAACCUUUGUAGGAACUCUUUUCCAACCUUUUGGAGUUAGUUAGACCAAAAAAUAUGAAAAAAGAAAAAAAUAUUAUUGGGGGUUUUCGGGCUCCCUGAAAGUAAUACCCGGGUAUUAGGUUUUGGGGCUAUGGUAAGGUUUAAGUUUUUUGGCGUUAGGGUUAAAAUCACUGUCCAAAACCUUUGUAGGAACUCUUUUCCAACCUUUUGGAGUUAGUUAGACCAAAAAAUAUGAAAAAAGAAAAAAAUAUUUGGGGUGUUCGGGCUUCCUGAAGGUAAUACCCCGGUAUUAGAUUUUAAGGCUAUGGUAAGGUUUAAGUUUUUUGGCGUUAGGGUUAAAAUCACUGUCCAAAAC